UCUUCACAAGGAGGUACGUUUUAUUCAUAUAUACACAUUCACACGACAUAUAGAAAAUAAUCUCUCUCAUUACACUAGAUUUAUCAUCCUCUUGAGUUAACUUUGUGAACAGACAUACUUAUUCUCACGCCUGAGCUAUCCCCCGGUGGUCCGGCCGUCAAGCUUGUGGUGUUUGUCGUGUUUACUGUGCAGGAUCAGGACGUCUUUCGUGAUUGGGACGUGGAGAAAGAUCUUGGCGUUAACAUUGGCGCUAGAAGGAGGGGCUUUGUUUUAAUGUCUUGAGUAUUUUUCAAUCACAGAGUGUGUUUUAUUCUAUUCAUUUUUCAUG
rnacentral:lncRNA from 1 species